AUGACGUGUGCGGGAGAGCCCGGUGCACACAGCCGGGCGCCGAAGGAGCAAGCCUCCCCGCCAAUCUCUCAGGCACCCCCACCGCUCACGUCCG
rfam:Microbacterium hydrocarbonoxydans strain SA35 RS84_contig000010, whole genome shotgun sequence.